rnacentral:rRNA from 1 species
UUAGAGUUUGAUCCUGGCUCAGGAUGAACGCUAGCGGCAGGCUUAAUACAUGCAAGUCGAACGGCAGCGGGUCCAGCAAUGGAUGCCGGCGAGUGGCGCACGGGUGCGUAACACGUAUGCAACCUACCUUUAACCGGGACAUAACCUCGAGAAAUCGUGGCUAAUAUUCCAUAAUAUCUUUGAAUCGCAUGGUUUGAAGAUCAAAAUUCCGAUGGUUUUAGAUGGGCAUGCGCGACAUUAGCUAGUUGGUGAGGUAAUGGCUCACCAAGGCUACGAUGUUUAGGGGGUCUGAGAGGAUGAUCCCCCACACUGGUACUGAGACACGGACCAGACUCCUACGGGAGGCAGCAGUAAGGAAUAUUGGGCAAUGGGCGCAAGCCUGACCCAGCCAUGCCGCGUGCAGGAUGACAGCCCUACGGGUUGUAAACUGCUUUUAUACGGGAAAAAACCCUCUGACGUGUCAGAGGCUGAUGGUACCGUAAGAAUAAGCAUCGGCUAACUCCGUGCCAGCAGCCGCGGUAAUACGGAGGAUGCAAGCGUUAUCCGGAUUUACUGGGUUUAAAGGGUGCGCAGGCGGAACGACAAGUCAGUGGUGAAAUCUCCUGGCUCAACCAGGAAACUGUCAUUGAUACUAUCGUUCUUGAGUCCAGUUGAAGUAGGCGGAAUGUAGCAUGUAGCGGUGAAAUGCUUAGAUAUGCUACAGAACACCGAUAGCGAAGGCAGCUUACUAAACUGAAACUGACGCUCAUGCACGAAAGCGUGGGGAUCAAACAGGAUUAGAUACCCUGGUAGUUCACGCCCUAAACGAUGAUCACUCGUUGUUGGGCACUAUAUCGUCAGCGACUAAGCGAAAGCAUUAAGUGAUCCACCUGGGGGAGUACGAUCGCAAGGUUGAAACUUCAAAGGAAAUUGACGGGGGCCC